UAUGGUAAGCUAAAUACUCUCCUAUUACUAAUGAGAUUUAUUCAAAACUCAUGUACCAUGGAGUAGUAGGUUACCUUAGGUAGCUUAAAAGGGA